ACAGCUCGACUUCCUGUUGAUAUGCCGAUACUUGUUAGCAUUUGUAAAGUCAACAAACACACACAUUAAAAACAUUGAUUUGACCUGGUAUUGCUGACAGUGCAGCAAAAUGUCAGCCAGAGGUGCAAAGAAGAAGAAGCCCACGUCCAAAUCGGCAAAAGCGGGAGUGCUUUUUCCCGUUGCACGAAUGCGGCGAUAUUUGAAAGGGAUGACCCAUCAUUUCCGUAUUGGAGCUGGUGCCCCGGUGUAUAUGGCAGCUGUCAUUGAAUAUCUGACGGGUAUUGUGCUUACAUUUUCAUUAUAAUUAAAGGUUGGAUAGGUGAUUCGGGUUCAAUAUAAGUUUUAGAGCAGGGGGUGAACUUUAGUGGGUGAUGCCAAUACGCCUAUAACCAAGGGAAGAUGCUUGAUCAGCAUCUUGGAGGCGCGGAUCUUAACGUUUUCCAUUUUUGCAAUAGUUCUGACAAUGACCUUUCCACCAAUAGGGACACUUCUUUGUGUUGUUACGACGCAGUGGAAUGCUUAUAAAGAGAAGGACUACGGGUCUUAAACAGCAUAAAUUCAUUUAUCUGUAGUCGUUUGGGUUCAAUACACAAUAAUAACACCUAUCUGCUUGGAUUUAUAGCUCUAGGGGUUCUGAGUAGAAAUGCAGGGUUCCAUGGUUAAGUUUCCUGAUUGUUCGAAAAAUUUACCUUUCAUGUUAUGUAUCUAUUGUUUGUAUCAUUCAAUAACUAAUCUAAAUGAAAACUAUAUUUCUUUCAAUUUUCAACAAUACUUACAGCUGAAAUCCUUGAGCUGGCUGGCAAUGCUGCAAGAGAUAACAAAAAAGGCAGAGUGACCCCUAGGCAUAUUCUACUAGCAGUAGCUAAUGACGAAGAAUUGAAACAGGAAGCGGGGAGGGAUUCAGUUGAAGCCCCCCACUGCUGCCCAGGAUGGUCCCAGUGCUUCCAAGGCAAAGAAGCCAAAGGCAAAGGUCAUCCCAGCAGCUCUACCCCCACCCUCCCCACCCAAAGGAGGAAAAGCAUCUGCUAAAGGAAAAGCCCUGAAACCCCCAAAGGGAUUCAAACCUUCAGCUGAUGCUGUGGCUGCUACUUCAGCCGGUGGAUUCACUAUCUUAUCAGAAAAGAAACUCUUUCUUGGACAAAAAAUGACAGUUAUUCAGGGUGAUUUGGUAAAAAUAACAGCUGAUGCCAUUGUUCAUCCAACCAGCAGUAGUUUCUUUAUGGGGGGUGAAGUUGGACAAGCUUUAGAAAAAGCUGGUGGCAAGGAUUUUAGGAAAGAACUAGAUGAUUUAAGUAAAGAACAUGGAAACUUAGAUACAGCAGGAGCUGCAAUCUGCCCAGGGCAAAAUUUUCCUGCCAAGUUUGUAAUCCAUGUUAACAGUCCAAAUUGGAGUGGCGGGUCUGGUAACUCGCAGCAACUUUUGGAGAAAGCUGUAAAGAAUGUUCUGAAACUAGCCGAUGAGAAAAAUCUCAAAUCUAUAGCCAUUCCUUCUAUAGGCAGUGGAUCUGCCGGAUUUCCGAAGCAGACAGCUGCACAGAUCAUCUUGAGGUCAAUUAGUAAUUACUUCGUGACCUGCAUGACGAGUUCACUCAAGCAAGUCUACUUUGUUCUAUUUGACCCAGAAAGUGUGGCUGUUUACACAAGCGAGCUGGGAAAACUCGACUCUUAGGCUUAACGAAAAUUGAUUGUGUAGCCGUGGAAGAAGUUUUAAAAGUUAUAGUAGUUAUGUGUGUGGAUCACUCGAUGAAUAUCUUCAUUCUGUGUUGUUUUUUAUCUUUCAAGUUCUGUUCCUAUAUCAAGAGUUAGAAGAGCAUUGUUUGGACUUUGGUGUAUUGUUGACUAUCCAGCCUCUUUAAUUGUGAUCUAUUGAGCUGUGUAAAUGUAUUUAGAAUGACAAGUUGAAUUGUCAGCACCCCAGUGCAAGUUACAUAUGUAUUUUUUUUUACAGUCAGUCAUUGUCACGAAUAUUGGGCAGAAAACAAAUUUUAACUAUUGAAAAUUAGAAUACAUAUGAAAAUGGUAGUUUGAAAAUCUGAAUUACUGUAAUUCUUACUAAAAUUUGUUGUACAAAUGUACAUGUAUUGACAUUCUUCAAUUUAAAGGGCAAAUUUCAUCUUCAACAACCCCCCCCCCCCCUUUCCCGUUGUUAUUGCUUGAAAAAUUUCAUAUCUAUUCAAAGAGCAAAAAAUUAAAUCUUUUAAUUAGUUAUAUUUUAUUGAUGUCUGUUUUUGUUGAAAUCCUGAUAUGUAUCAAACUCUUUUAAAUGAAUUUAAAAAUAUCUAGAUUGAAAAGCUUUUAAAAAGGGAGGAAUCAACUUUCAUAUCAUCAAUUGAGCACUUGCACCUUUUAUAUUGAAAUCACAUUAUCUCUAUUCUGUACAAAGAGUGGAUCAAGUAUGUUUAUGAGAGAUACAAGGAUUAUCCAAAUCAUCAACAAACAAUAGGCAGCACUUGUACGGUGUGUGAAUGUGUAGAAAGAGAGCAUAUAUUCCAUUCACUUAAUGUAUAAUGCCAUGCAAUCUACCGUAAUGAACGGUCUUUUUCUUGUAACUUUUCCUUGUUCUUUUUCCCUCCGUUAUAAUGUAUUGGUACAUGUACUGAUACUAAGUUUUCAGUGCAAUAAACUGUACCAAGUUGUUUUUUUUUAAAUUAUUAUUAUUGAAGCAAAAUAUAACUUUAUCAGUAAUUGUUAGAUAGUAUUGUAGUAAUUAACAAUGAAGUGCCACAUUUUUUAAUGUUAAUACAACAUGUAUUUAGAUUGUUAAGUUUGUCUAAUUAAGUUUUAUGAUAAUAUUUAUUUAUGGAUUCUUUUUAAAGUUUUUCAAAAACUUUCUUUUACUGUGAUGGUUGGGUUGAGGAAUAUUAAUAUUUUAUCACAGGUGUAUUACAAAAAGAUGUUGGUUUUAUUGACUACCGUAUUUAAAUGCUGGCACACAACAUCUCUAAUAUUAUACCUUUUAUCUGUUAGUGUUUGUUCAUAGAAGAAUUUGUUGUGGUGUAUGUGUAGUUUGUUUAUAGAACUCCUGUGUAUACCUAUUAAAUACCGGUUGUUUUAAGUAUGUCAAAUUUUUUUUUUAUUAUUAAUGGUAUUCUUUGGUUUAAGAAUAAGUAUACAUUAAAAGUAUUUAGGCAAUCAUUUGUUAAUUGAUGAUAUAUGUGUUGAUUAGGUUUUGGGGUUUAUGACUUAUCUGGUAUUUCAACAUCUUAUAUUUCUGUUUUUUAUUGUCUUCACAAAUUGAAUUUUUUACUGGCUUUUUUGAAAUUUGAAGCAUUGAGAUUGUAAAACCACGUACUAUUGCAUGAAAAAGUACUUUGUCAUUGUAGUGAAUAAAUGAGAAAUC
rnacentral:misc_RNA from 1 species